rnacentral:rRNA from 1 species
AGUGAACGCUGGCGGUAGGCUUAACACAUGCAAGUCGAACGGCAGCACAGUAAGAGCUUGCUCUUACGGGUUGCGAGUGGCGGACGGGUGAGGAAUACAUCGGAAUCUACUUUUUCGUGGGGGUUAACGUAGGUAAACUUACGCUCAUACCGCAUACGACCUUGGGGUGAAAGCGGGGGAACUUCGGACCUUGUGCGAUUGAAUGAGCCGAUGUCGGCUUAGCUAGUUGGCGGGGUAAAGGCCCAGCAAGGGGACGGUACGUGGCUGGUCUGAGAGGAUGGUCAGCCGCACGAGAACGGAGACACGCUCCAGGGGCCUACGAGAGGCAGCAGUGGGGAAUAGUGGACAAUAGGCGCAAACCUUACCCAGUCAGCCCGCGUGGGUUAAAGAGGCCUUCGGGGUGUAAAGCCCUUUUGUUGGGUAAAAAAAGCUGCAGGUUAAUACGCCGCGGUACUGACGGUACCCAAAGAAGAAGCACCGGCUAACUACGUG